AUUGAACGCUGGCGGCAUGCUUUACACAUGCAAGUCGAACGGCAGCACAGGGAGCUUGCUCCCGGGUGGCGAGUGGCGCACGGGUGAGUAAUACAUCGGAACGUGUCCUGUUGUGGGGGAUAACUGCUCGAAAGGGUGGCUAAUACCGCAUGAGACCUGAGGGUGAAAGCGGGGGAUCGCAAGACCUCGCGCAAUUGGAGCGGCCGAUGCCCGAUUAGCUAGUUGGUGAGGUAAAGGCUCACCAAGGCGACGAUCGGUAGCUGGUCUGAGAGGACGACCAGCCACACUGGGACUGAGACACGGCCCAGACUCCUACGGGAGGCAGCAGUGGGGAAUUUUGGACGAUGGGGGCAACCCUGAUCCAGCCAUGCCGCGUGCAGGAUGAAGGCCUUCGGGUUGUAAACUGCUUUUGUCAGGGACGAAAAGGACCGUGUUAAUACCAUGGUCUGCUGACGGUACCUGAAGAAUAAGCACCGGCUAACUACGUGCCAGCAGCCGCCGUAA
rnacentral:rRNA from 1 species